rnacentral:rRNA from 1 species
UACGUAGGUGGCAAGCGUUGUCCGGAAUUAUUGGGCGUAAAGCGCGCGCAGGUGGUUCCUUAAGUCUGAUGUGAAAGCCCACGGUUCAACCGUGGAGGGUCAUUGGAAACUGGGGAACUUGAGUGCAGAAGAGGAAGGUGGAAUUCCAAGUGUAGCGGUGAAAUGCGUAGAGAUUUGGAGGAACACCAGUGGCGAAGGCGACUUUCUGGUCUGUAACUGACACUGAGGCGCGAAAGCGUGGGGAGCAAACAGG